rnacentral:rRNA from 1 species
UUUUUAUUUUUUAUUUUAUUUUCUAUUUAAAUAAAAAAUUUUAUUGGGGUGAUAAAAAAAUUUAAUAAACUUUUAAUAAUUUAUUCAUAAAUGUAUGAGGUUAUAAUGAACUUUAAUUUAAAAAUUUAGAUUAAAA